UUGAACGCUGGCGGCAUGCUUUACACAUGCAAGUCGAACGGUAGCAGGCCUUCGGGUGCUGACGAGUGGCGAACGGGUGAGUAAUGCAUCGGAACGUGCCCAAUCGUGGGGGAUAACGUAGCGAAAGUUACGCUAAUACCGCAUACGCCCUGAGGGGGAAAGUGGGGGACCGCAAGGCCUCACGCGAAUGGAGCGGCCGAUGUCAGAUUAGCUAGUUGGUGGGGUAAAGGCCCACCAAGGCGACGAUCUGUAGCGGGUCUGAGAGGAUGAUCCGCCACACUGGGACUGAGACACGGCCCAGACUCCUACGGGAGGCAGCAGUGGGGAAUUGGACAAUGGGCGCAAGCCUGAUCCAGCCAUGCCGCGUGCAGGACGAAGGCCUUCGGGUUGUAAAGCUCUUUCGGCCGGGAAGAAAUCGUGGUCUCUAACAUAGGCCAUGGAUGACGGUACCGGACUAAGAAGCACCGGCUAACUACGU
rnacentral:rRNA from 1 species